GAGCAGUUCAGCCCCAGAGCAGCAGUACUGGGCCUGUUUGGAGAGCUGUCUUCCUAGUCCAUCACUGAGCUGCCUCAGGAGGCAGUGGAAGUGUUGAGAGACAGGGAUGGAGGCCACUUGACAGUAACAUCCAAAGAAAAUUCAAGAGCCGAGUCAGAGAAUGGACUAGUGUUCCUGAAAGUCGAAUCACGACCUGGGGAGAUAAAUGCCUGCUGUCUGUCACUCCAGAAAGAUUGAUGGCAUCUGAUCCCCUCCCUGCCCAACGCCUCUUGCCUCACUAGUGACUGACAUCUUCAGCAAAUCACGGGAAGUUCCUUUCUUACAGGAUCAUGGGGGCUAAGACACCUUUUGACAAAAUAAACCAAAUUGUUGCCAUGAAAUCAACAAACCAUUUUCCAAGCUUUGGACAACAUCCUAACUUAGGCAAAGGAACUCUGGAGAUGUUGACGAACCUGGGAAAACAGAUGUCUCCAGCCGACUGGUCAUCAAUGGGAGUCAAGCGGAAGCUUGGGAAAUUCAGGUGCCGUGGUUCUUUGCUUGGGGAUCCUCAGCCCGGGCUCAGCUUGGAGUAUUUCCUGGUGACAGGAAGAGUGGAGACAAAUAAGAAAAGUGGAUUCUCAAGCUUGGAGCGGUCAGCAGAGUCAAAGCAUCUUUGCUGACUACACCUGGGAAUUGCUGUAAAACCAAAGGAGGCAAUUCUUGCUGAGUGUACAAAUCAGAAACCUAUACAAAGUUUAUAAGGAAGCUAUUUUUGUUUUGUUUUUUGUUUUUUGUUCUUUCCUGUUACAGCAGGCUUGCAUAAUUGAAAAGCUCUUUGGUCUUGAAACUGAGGGUUUUAUUCUAGAAUUAGAAAUGUUAGAAAAAUCACAUAGUCUAAUCUUCCCUUCCCAGUUUAUAGGUGAGAAAACUAAAGUCUGGAGAGGUUAGGGAACUUGCCCAAGUCUACUCGGUGUUAGUAACUGAUUCAGAACCAUAACCUGUUCUCUGGUCUCACCAAGUGUUUCUACCUCAAACUGCUGUCUUCGGUAUUUAUUUAGAAUUUAUUCAAAUAUAUUCUGUGCUCCCUCAUCACCAGGUGUUUAUAUAAAAUUAACCUUUUCUUUCAAAACAAUUUUAGACAUAGAUAGAAGUUAUAGAAAUAGCACAGUGUUUUCAUAAUACUUCACCUGGCUUCCUUAUAAUAACAUCUAACAUAACGAUAGCCCCUUUCAGAGUUCCCAUCGUGGCUCAGCAAUAAUGGACCCAACUAGCAUCCAUGAGGAUGCAGGUUUGAUCCCUGGCCUUGCUUGGUGGGUUAAGGAUCUGGCAUUUCUGUGGCUGUGGUGUAGGCCAGCAGCUACAACUCUGAUUCGACCCCCAGCCUGGGAACCUUUAUAUGCUGUGGGUACAGCCAUAAAAAGAAAAAAAAAAUGAUAGCACUGUUGUCAAAACCAGGAAAUUGACAUAGCAGAACACUAUUAACUACAGAUCUUAAUUGCAGUUUUACUAGUUCUGAUAGGUACUCUCUUAAAAAAAUUUAAUGUGUGUUUUAUGAGAUUUUACCACGCUUGCAUAACCACCAACACAAGCAGGACAGGGAACUGUUUGAUUAUCCCUGAAAAGUUCCUUGACCCCUCCCUCCAAGCUUUUUGUUUGUUUUUGUAAUGUUUUGUGUUUUGACCACACCCUCGGCACACUCAAGUUCCAGGGCCUGGGAUUGAACUGAUGCUACAGCAGGGACCAGGCCAGAUCCUUAGCCCACUGUGCCACCAGGGAAUUCCAGACUCCCUUCAAGUUUAACUCCUAACAAUGAAGGGUUCUUCAUCACUAUAAUUUCAUCAUUUCAUUUUCAUCACUAUUCUUUCAACGUUGUAUGAAAGGAAGGAUACAAUAGGCAUCCUUUUGAGACUGGCUUCUUUCACUCGGCACAAUGCCCUGGAGAUUCACCCAAUUUGUUGCCUUCUGUAUCAGUAAUCUGUCCCCUUUUAUCGCUGAGUAGUAUUCCAUUGUAAGGGCACAGCAGACAUUGUUUAACCAAUCACCCACGGAAAGGCACUUGGCUUGUUUUCAGUUUGGGGGAAUUUCUAAAGAGAAGGUGCUACAGAUAUUUCAUACUCACUUGCAGUCAUUUUUCAGUGCUAUAGGCUAGGUUUUAAAAAUUAUUUUCCUGCCAUAGCUCUUAGUUUGACAAUCUUUAGCUAGAUGGUAGAGACAAAAAAAAAAAAAGAGAAGGAAAUACAGGCUGAAAAUUGUUGAUUCCCCAGUUGGCAACAGGUUAAUGAUGAAGUUUGAUUGAAUGGGGGUUCUCACUAGCAAGAACACUUAUCACCAAGGUUGGUGGUUCUUACAGAGGGUUCCUGGAACAGCAGCGUCGGCAUCUCCUGGGAACUAGUUAGGAAUGUAAAAUUUCAGGCUCCUCUGAUCCUGAAUCAAAAACUCUGGGAUUGGGCCCAGAAAUCUGUGCUUUACCUUUCUGAGAACAACAAGGUAAGGUAACUGCUGGGAGACUUCACCCUUUCACCCGAAGGGCAGCUGGGUCUGCAUGGCCGGGCAUGGAAAGCUGUGUUUUCUCUGGGCUGGGGGCGCACUGGUCUGAAUUUCAUGGUUUCUUUCUUUCUUUUUUUGGCAAGAGUGCCUGGUGGGCCCAAAUAUUGUGGUACAUUUUGGAACAACCUGUGUUUUCAAUGUUUCUGUUUCCCCAUUUAGACAAUGGAGGGUGAUAAAUGUGACUUUAGAGACACCUUGGGGACACCAUGGGUGACACCACAGUCACCAUGGGGUCACUAUGUCCAUCAAAGGAAGAAGCUCAUGGAGAGGCCCAUUUAGGAUGGUGAAUCGUUCUCGUCUGAGUGGAUAUUCUCCUACGACAUAAAUGGCUCUUCUAUCGCAGGGCUUUGGAGCAUUAGAUGUGCCAGGUUUAGAAGAUUUGAUAGAAUAAGACCCAUUUUGGCUUUAGGCACAGCUAAGAAGCAGGAGAAGCUGCCUUUGUAGGCUUGUUUCUUUUUUUUUCUUUUUCUUUUUUCUUUUUUUUUUUUUUUAGGGCCACACUCCCGGCAUAUGGAGGUUCCCAGGCUAGGGGUCAAAUCGUUGCUGUAGGGGUCGGCCCACACCACAGCCACAGCAACUCAGGAUCCGAGCCACAUCUGUGACCUACAACACAGCUCACGGCAACAGGCAAUGCAGGGGUAUCCUUAACCCACUGAGCGAGACCAGGGAUCGAACCUGUGCCCUAGUGGAUACUACUCAGAUUCGUUUCUGCUGAGCCACAAUGGGAACUCCAUGGGCUUGUUUCUGAUUUGGGGUUUUCUCCUGUCCCCUAACCCCUAGCGGGAGUCCUGUGAGCAUUUCACCCUCCCCCCUCUGCCUUGCCUCCCCUCCCCCCAGAGCACUGUCAAAACUUGCACUUUUCUGUAUAAGUCAUUUAGGCUUUUUCUUCUGUCAGGUGACACUGGAUUAAUUAGACAAGUGCAUGCCUCAAUUUUGUUAUAAAUUUGGCAGGUUACCCCAAUGACAUGCUGUCACUCUGUUACAUGUUCCCCUUUUUUCUUUGGGAGUGAAGUCACUACAGGGUGACAGUAACGGUAGGCAUUUCAGGCAUGCUGCAGGAGACAUAUGGAUGAUAUUCUUCCUGUCGGGAGUUAUUUAAAAUAGCUCCAAUUACUAGAGGGUGCCAACUGGUCAGAUUUCUCCUAUAAAUAGUUCUUUGGGAUGUCUGGGUGUGUGUGUGUGUGUGUGUGUGUGUGUGUGUGUGUUUAGUGGGGAUUGUGCUGAACGGAGGGAAGGCAUCAGGAUGUUGUAUGGAGCAUGUAAGGAGACUGCCUCCAUCUUCAGGUGUGAUGUUUAGGGGCCAGUUGUCUGUUUCAAGUUAAAAGAUAAAGGCUCUGAUCAAGCUAAUCCCUAUCCUUUCUUUACAAUUUUUCCCCCCUAGGGCUUUCUGUUUGAUUUUAAUCAUUAGUCCUUGGAAUUCAUUUUGCUCUAUUAAAAAGAAAAUACUGUAUGGGGGAAAUAACUAUUAAAAAAAAGAGAGAAAGAAAGAAAAUACUCACAACUUGGCCGCACUCCCAAUUUCUACUCUGGAAGAGUCUUUUCCAGGCAUGACGCGGUGGCUGAGGGCUAGGUUGUUUAUGUGUAAAGACCAGCACAUCGCAGGGGCUGGAGGCAUCAUGAGAUGAGGGAUGAUGGCGCUGCCUUUAUCCCAACUCUUGAAUAAACUUUUUUAAAAAGACCCUUUGUGUUUUGUG
ensembl:lncRNA